UUUCCCAAUGUUAUCAUCUAGAAUCUUUGUGGUUUCAGGUCUCAGAUUUAAGUCUUUGAUCCAUCUUGAAUUGAUUUUUGUAUAAGGUGAGAGAUGAGUAUCCAGCUUCAUUCUUCUCCAUGUGGCUUGCCAAUUAUUCCAGAAGCUUGUUUUUUUUUUUAAAUGAAGAAAUGGUAAAGAAGCAAGCAAGAAGAGUCAGUCUGAGGCUCCUCACUGUGACGGACUGAGGAGCUUUAUUUACUCCCUGCGGAUAGUGGCCUGCCACCAGAGAGGCCACAGGCCGGAGUGAUGGAGCUGACUCAUAGGGUAAGGAGAAAGUGGCCUGGAUCGUUGACAGAGGGUGUGGUCUUUUUGUUUGGUAAUUUUAAACUACAUUCUUGAAAAAGUUUCUCAAGAUUCAAGCAAUUCCUAGGACUGUAUGUACACUUGGGGAACAUUUCUUAAAAUACAUAACGAAUUCAAAUUAAUAAGAAAAAGACAACCCAGAAGAAAAAUGGACACGUGAAUUAAUCAGAAACUCAAGAGGUGGCGUAUAUUUGAGCAUGGAUCUAAAUGAGGUGAAGGAUUGAGAUGGCUGCUUGGGGAAGAACUUUCCAGGCAUGAAUGAAUGCCUGAAUUGAGCAUCUCCACUUCCUGAUAUGAGAGAAGAGACGUAACAAAGAUUCCUCCAGAACCAAAAGGAUCCGAGAUAAGGCUAACUUGAUUAACGUGCUUAAUGUGAAUGCCACACCUUGGGUUUCCCAGGAAGAAGACUCUCAGAUGAAGACCAGUGUUUAGGAAGCUUAUUAGGAAUGCUUGCGGGAUCAACACCUGCUGGGGAAGAAAGGCAGCAAGAUUGGGCAGAGGACAGAGUUGGGCUAUGGUGCAGUCUCAGUGGAGGUUUCCAUCGGCCAUCGGGAGUUCUGAAGCUGGGCUGGCCCUUCGGGGUGGUCCCAAGUUGGGGGCUGGAUCUUUAUGCCUCGCCUUAGUCCAUCAUUAGAUGUUGGCCAUCCCAGGAAGGAGUAUGACCUUGGGUGAGGUGGCUCCCCUCUGCCACAGUAGUCCUUGGCAGCUGAGGGCUACUUAAAUGAUUUCAACUUCUUCCUUUUGUUCCCCCAGCACCAGGAGUGAUGGUUCCUCAGCAGUGGAGGGAGGGAGUCCUUCCUUCCUGAAGGGGAUCUGGGUGGGCCAGUUCACUGUUCAUCACCGUGAGACAAGUGCAGGUCUAAACCUUGCUGCAUUGGAGAGAAGAUAAGAGAAAAAGUUGCUGAGUUGGUUUCCUGGGCCUAUGUGCUCUCAGAGUCCUUUCCUUUUCUUAGCUUGCCCAGUGGUGCUGACACCUGCAGGCUGCAUCUCUCAAACUCCCCAUCAGUUGGUUUCUGGCAGGUUUGACCAGGAGAAACCACUGAUCAGACAUAAGCAGGAGGAAACCAGAGAAACCAGAGUAUUUCCAUCCUUCCUCUUCGCCUUGGGCAGGAACUCCAUUAGCAGCUUGUCUUCUCCCUUGUUCUAACUCUCCUAUGCAGGCUCACUGUGGUUCCAGCUCCCAUAAAGGAAUCUCUCAGUCCCUGGCUCUGGCCACACCACUGUGGUAGAUGUGAGGUACUCAGGUCCUCUUUAAGGAAGGACUUGCUGCCCAACGGCAGGUGCUGCAGCCAGCAUCCAGCUGUCAGCCCCUACAGGGUCAGCCUUACUUGCAGAGAACCACCUUGCUCGAGGUCAUGCCCUUCCUGAAGCAGCUGGCAUCCGAUGUUGACCCCUCAUGAACACCUUGCACUCCAGUAUAUUUCUAAGUGCUUCUGAGAGCCCGGCCUGCAACACCACUUCUCCCCUCUGCCUCCAGCCUAGAGAUGGGAAUGGCUUCCUGCUGGUGCUAAUCUCUAGGUGGCCUCACCAUGUCCCAUUUGGACACUCUGCUCUUGCAUCAUCCAUGUAAUCAAUUAACUGCAUUAAAUCCCCAUCUCUUUAAAUAAAGUAGGUUCUGACACAGCCAACAUUAUACUGAAUGGGGAAAAGUUGAAAGCGUUCCUCCUGAGAACUGGAACAAGACAAGGAUGUUCACUUUCACCACUUCUAUUCAACAUAGUACUGGAAGUCCUAGCCAGAGCAAUCAGACAAGAGAAGGCAAUAAAGGACAUCCAAAAAAGUAAAGAGGAAGUCAAACUGUCACUGUUUGCUGAUGAUAUGAUUGUAUACCUAGAAAACCCUAAGAACUUAUCCAAAAAGCUCCUAGAACUGAUUAAUGAAUUCAGUAAAGUUUCAGGAUACAGAAUUAAUGUACACAAGUCAGUAGCACUGCUGUACACCAACAGUAACCAAGCUGAGAAUCAAAUCAAGAACUCAGCCUCUUUUACAAUAGCUGCAAAAAAUAAAAUAAAAUACUGAGGAAUAUACCUGUUACCAAGGAGGUGAAAGACCUCUACAAUGAAAACUAUAAAACACUGCUGAAAGAAAUCAUAGAUGACACAAACAAAUGGAAACACAUCUCAUGCUCAUGGAUGGGUAGAAUCAAUAUCGUGAAAAUGACCAUACUGCGAAAAGCAAUCUACAAAUUCAGUGCAAUUCCCAUCACAGUAUCACCAACAUUCUUCACAAAGCUGGAAAAAGCAAUCCUAAAAUUCAUAUGGAAUGAAAAAAGAGCCCGCAUAGCCAAAGCAAUACUAAGCAAAAAGAACAAAUCUAGAGGCGUCACAUUACCCAACUUCGAACUAUACUAUAAGGCCAUAGUCACCAAAACAGCAUGGUACUGGUAUAAAAUAGGUACAUAAACCAAUGGAACAGAAUAGAGAACCCAGAAAUAAAGCUGGAUACUUAUAGCUAACGAGUCUUCAACAAAGCAAACAAAAUAAAGUGGGGAAAGGACACCCCAUUCAACAAAUGGUGCUGGGAUAAUUGUCAAGCCACAUGUAGAAAAAAUGAAACUGGAUCCUCAUCUCUCAUUUUAUACAAAAAUCAACUCAAGAUGGAUCAAAGACUUAAGUCUAAGACCUGAAACCAUAAAAAUUCUAGAAGAUAACAUUGGAAAAACCCUUCUAGACAUUGGCAUAGGCAAAGACUUCACGACCAAGAACCCAAAAGAAAAUGCAACAGAAACAAAGAUAGAUAGGUAGGACUUAAUUAAACUAAAUUACUUCUACACAGCAAAAGAAAUUAUCAGUAUAGACCACCCACAGAAUAGGAGAAAAUCUUUGCAAUCUAUACAUCUGACAAAGGAUUAAUAUCCAGAAUCUACAAGGAACUCAGAUCAGCAAGAAAAAAACAAAGAAUCCCAUCAAAAAAUGGGCUAAGGACAUGAAUAAACAAUUCUCAAAAGAUGUACAAAGGGCCAACAAACAUAUGAAAAAAUAUUCAACAUCACUAAUUAUCAGGGAAAUGCAAAUCAAAACCACAAUGAGAUGCUACCUCACUCCUGCAAGAAUGGCCAUAAUCAAAGAUCAAAAAUAAUAGAUGUUGGCAUGGAUGUGAAGAAAAGGGAACACUUUUACACUGCUGGUGGGAAUGUAAACUAGUACAACCACCAUGGAAAACAGUGUGGAGAUUCCUUAAAGAACUAAAAAUAGAUGUACCAUUUGAUCCAGUGAUCCCACUACUAAGUAUCUACCCAGAGGAAAAGAAGUUAUUAUACUAAAAAGAUACUUGCACAUGGAUGUUUAUAGCAGCACAAUUCGCAAUUGCAAAAAUAUGGAACCAGCCCAAAUGCCCAUCAAUCAAUGAGUGGAUAAAGAAAAUGUGAGGGAUAAAAGACUACACAUUGGGUACAGUGUAUACUGCUUGUGUGAAGGGUGCACCAAAAUCCCAGAAGUCACCACUAAAGGACUUAUUCAUGUAACCAAACACCACCUGUUCCCCAAAAACCUAUUGAAAUGGAAAAUAAAUAAAGUAGGUUCUGUUUUCCUGGCUAGACACUGCCUGAUAUAGUGAGUUUUACAUCUAAACUUCAGUUUAUAUUCUCAUUUCCCUUGCUAAUCUAGUAUUUUAUAAGGGGGCCCUCAACUCAUAAAUAUAUAUUAAUAUAUAUAUGUUUGUGUGUAUAUAUUCCUCAUCUGCAACCAAACGCAGAUCGAAAAUACAGUAUUCCUGGAAUGUGACACCCACGUGUAUCAAGGGCCGAC
rnacentral:lncRNA from 1 species